rnacentral:rRNA from 1 species
UACAGGGGGUGCAAACGUUGCUCGGAAUUAUUGGGCGUAAAGCGCACGUAGGCGGUUCGUUAUGUCGGAUGUGAAAGCCCUUGGCUCAACUGAGGAAGUGCAUCCGAAACUGGCGAGCUAGAGUAUGUAAGAGGGUCGCGGAAUUCCCGGUGUAGAGGUGAAAUUCGUAGAUAUCGGGAGGAACACCGGUGGCGAAGGCAGCCCCCUGGGCCAACACUGACGCUCAGGCACGAAAGCGUGGGGAGCAAACAGG